GGUAGCCUUCAGAGGCUGGUGUACCGGUACGGGGUGAUGGCUCUACCGGUACAGCCAUCAACUGUAGCAUUGUCUCAGCCGACCCGAGGCUCGGGUUCGGUGUUUUCGUGGGAGGUGUACCGGUACGCGGGCCCGUGUACCGGUACGCAGAGGCAUUUUUUUUGAGCAGUCCGAACUGUAGGGGGUUUUUCGCGAUUGU
rnacentral:lncRNA from 1 species